GUCGAGCGAAUCGAUGGGAGCUUGCUCCCUGAGAUUAGCGGCGGACGGGUGAGUAACACGUGGGCAACCUGCCUAUAAGACUGGGAUAACUUCGGGAAACCGGAGCUAAUACCGGAUACGUUCUUUUCUCGCAUGAGAGAAGAUGGAAAGACGGUUUACGCUGUCACUUAUAGAUGGGCCCGCGGCGCAUUAGCUAGUUGGUGAGGUAAUGGCUCACCAAGGCGACGAUGCGUAGCCGACCUGAGAGGGUGAUCGGCCAAACUGGGACUGAGACACGGCCCAGACUCCUACGGGAGGCAGCAGUAGGGAAUCUUCCGCAAUGGACGAAAGUCUGACGGAGCAACGCCGCGUGAACGAAGAAGGCCUUCGGGUCGUAAAGUUCUGUUGUUAGGGAAGAACAAGUACCAGAGUAACUGCUGGUACCUUGACGGUACCUAACCAGAAAGCCACGGCUAACUACGUGCCAGCAGCCGCGGUAAUACGUAGGUGGCAAGCGUUGUCCGGAAUUAUUGGGCGUAAAGCGCGCGCAGGUGGUUCCUUAAGUCUGAUGUGAAAGCCCACGGCUCAACCGUGGAGGGUCAUUGGAAACUGGGGAACUUGAGUGCAGAAGAGGAAAGUGGAAUUCCAAGUGUAGCGGUGAAAUGCGUAGAGAUUUGGAGGAACACCAGUGGCGAAGGCGACUUUCUGGUCUGUAACUGACACUGAGGCGCGAAAGCGUGGGGAGCAAACAGGAUUUAGAUAC
rnacentral:rRNA from 1 species